rnacentral:rRNA from 1 species
ACUCUGACCAGCCAUGCCGCGUGCAGGAAGACGGCCCUAUGGGUUGUAAACUGCUUUUAUACAGGAAGAAACACUCGUACGUGUACGAGCUUGACGGUACUGUAAGAAUAAGGACCGGCUAACUCCGUGCCAGCAGCCGCGGUAAUACGGAGGGUCCGAGCGUUAUCCGGAAUCAUUGGGUUUAAAGGGUCCGCAGGCGGUCAAUUAAGUCAGAGGUGAAAUCCCAUAGCUUAACUAUGGAACUGCCUUUGAUACUGGUUGACUUGAGUCAUAUGGAAGUAGAUAGAAUGUGUAGUGUAGCGGUGAAAUGCAUAGAUAUUACACAGAAUACCGAUUGCGAAGGCAGUCUACUACGUAUGUACUGACGCUGAGGGACGAAAGCGUGGGGAGCGAACAGGAUUAGAUACCCUGGUAGUCCACGCCGUAAACGAUGGAUACUAGUUGUUGGGAUUUAUCUCAGUGACUAAGCGAAAGUGAUAAGUAUCCCACCUGGGGAGUACGGUCGCAAGACUGAAACUCAAAGGAAUUGACGGGGGCCCGCACAAGCGGUGGAGCAUGUGGUUUAAUUCGAUGAUACGCGAGGAACCUUACCAGGGCUUAAAUGUAGUCUGACAGCUUUAGAGAUAGAGUUUUCUUCGGACAGAUUACAAGGUGCUGCAUGGUUGUCGUCAGCUCGUGCCGUGAGGUGUCAGGUUAAGUCCUAUAACGAGCGCAACCCCUGUUGUUAGUUGCCAGCAUGUAAAGAUGGGAACUCUAACAAGACUGCCAGUGCAAACUGUGAGGA